UUUCAACAAAUUUCCUAGCAUGCCUUGCUAGGCUAUGUAAGCUACGUACUAUAAAUUAUGUACAAAAGGGCGGCAGCACAGGCAGUUGGUUACCAAGGAUCCAAGCAAGCUAGUCAACCGUUCCAGCAAAGCAGCAGUGCCGGCGAGUCAAGAAGCUUAUGAUUGUUUCAUCAUAUCCACAUAAACUUGUUUUUAACAGCAUCUUGUACUGAGCUUAUCAUUUGCUUAUGACCAAAAUCAUCAUAUCUCUUUCCCUAACUCAUAAAAGAAAAUAAAGAAAAGUCCUCAUGGCAUCCAUUAUUAGACAAUCUCAAAAGAAGAAAAGUAUAAAUGUAAGGUACCUCGCAUCUAUCGACAUCUGCAGUCCAAGCAUUUGGAGGAAGUGAGGUUGGGUCAAGCAACUUGUAUGGGUGGUCCGUUGCUGGGCUUACUGCAAUCCUUGACAAAGUCUUCAACGCUGUAGACUACGGUCAUGUAAAGAGAACAGCUAGGGCACCGAGCGAUCACCUCGCCGAGUAUAAGGUCCUCUUUAGUCAUCUGGAACAGGUCGCCGCAUGGACAAGGACAGAUAUGCAGCUGCUCGUUCCACUCCAUGUCCUCUAUCUCCAGGUCGUCGUAGGACAUCGUUUUAGUGCUCGAUCCCGAGUCCUUGGUUAAUUAAAUAUUGAUGAUGAAAAGGAGGAAACAUAUCUAUGUCAGGGUUAAAUGGAAGCUUUAGCGGCUAGCAACACCAGAAGCAACGAAAACCCAGCAGCAAGCGUAAGCGCCAAAAAUUGAUAAGAAAAAUGAGCGAAGAUGGAAAAUGUCGCGACAGACGAUGAACAAAAAUAUCAGCGUGACUCAGUUCUUGUUUCAGAGGCUGAAACCCUUGGAUUCGAAGGGGUCGGAAGCAGAACGAAACAGAGGAUCAAAGAACCCAGCAGCAAACCUAAUCGCGAAAUAUGAGCAACGAUCGACGAUGUAGCAACAGACGACGAACCGAAAA